GACGAACGCUGGCGGCGUGCUUAACACAUGCAAGUCGAACGGAAAGGCCCUGCUUUUGUGGGGUGCUCGAGUGGCGAACGGGUGAGUAACACGUGAGUAACCUGCCCUUGACUUUGGGAUAACUUCAGGAAACUGGGGCUAAUACCGGAUAGGAGUUCCUGCUGCAUGGUGGGGGUUGGAAGGUUUCGGCGGUUGGGGAUGGACUCGCGGCUUAUCAGCUUGUUGGUUGGGUAGUGGCUUACCAAGGCUUUGACGGGUAGCCGGCCUGAGCGGGGGACCGGCCACAUUGGGACUGAGAUACGGCCCAGACUCCUACGGGAGGCAGCAGUGGGGAAUAUUGCACAAUGGGCGGAAGCAUGAUGCAGCCACGCCGCGUGCGGGAAGACGGCAUUCGGGUUGUAAACCGCUUUCGCCUGUGACGAAGCGUGAGUGACGGUAAUGGGUAAAGAAGCACCGGCUAACUACGUG
rnacentral:rRNA from 1 species